rnacentral:misc_RNA from 1 species
AACUUUCGGCAAUGGAUCUCUUGGCUCUCGCAUCGAUGAAGAACGCAGCGAAACGCGAAAUGUAAUGUGAAUUGCAGAACCUUCAGUGAAUCAUCGAAUCUUUGAACGCAUCUUGCGCCUCGUGGUAUUCCGCGAGGCAUGUCUGUUUGAGUGUCGUUUGACCUCUCAACCGCUUUGGUAUUCGAUUACAAAAGUCGGCUUGGAACGUGGGUGCCGGCACUACGUCUCGCGACUCGCUCCUAUCCGAAAGUCAAUUUGGGCACAUCGCGCGAGCCAUGGUUUGACCAAAGUGUUGUAAGGUUCGCCUCGCUUUAGGACAUCGCCCUGUGCCACCCGGCGCUAAUACGCACACGAUACUAUAUGAUUUUCACCUCAAAUCAGUCAGGAGUACCCGCUAAACUUAACCAUAUCAAAAACCCGAGGCU